GAUGAACGCUGGCGGCGUGCCUAAUACAUGCAAGUAGAACGCUGAAGGAGGAGCUUGCUCUUCUGGUUGAGUUGCGAACGGGUGAGUAACGCGUAGGUAACCUGCCUGGUAGCGGGGGAUAACUAUUGGAAACGAUAGCUAAUACCGCAUGACAACAGUUAUUGCAUGAUAACUGUUUAAAAGGGGCAACUGCUCCACUACCAGAUGGCCCUGCGUUGUAUUAGCUAGUUGGGGAGGUAACGGCUCACCAAGGCGACGGUACAUAGCCGACCUGAGAGGGGGAUCGGCCACGCUGGGUCUGAGACACGGCCCAGACUCCUACGGUGGGCAGCAGUAGAGAAUCUUCGGCCAUGGACGGAAGUCUGACCGAGCAACGCCGCGUGAGUGAAGAAGGUUUUCGGAUCGGAAAGCGCUGUUGUAAGAGAAGAACGAGUGUGAGAGUGUAAAGUUCACACUGUGACGGUAUCUUACCAGAAAGGGACGGCUAACUACGUG
rnacentral:rRNA from 1 species